rnacentral:rRNA from 1 species
UAUGUGAUCGUCUCUCGCAUAUCAAUAAGCGGAGGAAAAGAGGGCUAUUACCUACGCUUAGGAUGUUGAAGAUAUGCGCGACACGGCUCUAUACAUGACUCUGUGCAUAUCAAUAAGCGGAGGAAAAGAAACUAACAAGGAUUCCCCUAGUAACGGCGAGUGAAGCGGGAAGAGCUCAAAUUUGAAAUCUUAAAGGGUUUCCCUUUACGAAUUGUAGUUUAAAGAAGUGUUUUCUGUUGAGGUUUUGGUAAAAGUUCUUUGGAAUAGGACAUCAUAGAGGGUGAGAAUCCCGUAUUUGACCUUUACUUUCAACUUUGUGAUACACUUUCAAAGAGUCGGAUUGUUUGGGAUAUGCAGUCCAAAAUGGGUGGUAAAUUUCAUCUAAAGCUAAAUAUUGGCGAGAGACCGAUAGCGAACAAGUACCGUGAGGGAAAGAUGAAAAGAACUUUGAAAAGAGAGUUAAACAGUACGUGAAAUUGUCAAAAGGGAAGCGUUUGACACCAGUGUUGUUUUUCUGAAAAUCAAUUAAAGAACUGUUUAUGCUAAGUUGUUUAGACUUUAUCAGCUAACUGUUUAGUUUUGAGCUUUUCUUUAAUGCACUUUUCAGUUAACAAGUCAACAUCAAUUUCUUUUGCUGUAAAAAAGCUUGAGGAAGGUGGCUUGAGAUUCGUCUUAAGUGUUUAUAGCCUCUUGCCUAUGCAGUCGGAGAGAUUGAGGUCUGCAGCGUAGAUCCUUCGGGGCUAAAUGCAUUUGUGCUAAGUUAUAGCAUUUUAUAGACAACUUGUUGACUAUGAUUUGUCUUGUAGCUUACUCGCUUAUGUUAUUUUACCUACGCUUAGGAUGUUGAUCUACAGAGCGAGAGU